AUUGAACGCUGGCGGAAUGCUUUACACAUGCAAGUCGAACGGCAGCACGGACUUCGGUCUGGUGGCGAGUGGCGAACGGGUGAGUAAUAUAUCGGAACGUGCCCAGUCGUGGGGGAUAACGUAGUGAAAAUUACGCUAAUACCGCAUACGAUCUACGGAUGAAAGCGGGGGAUCGCAAGACCUCGCGCGAUUGGAGCGGCCGAUAACAGAUUAGGUAGUUGGUGAGGUAAAGGCUCACCAAGCCAACGAUCUGUAGCUGGUCUGAGAGGACGACCAGCCACACUGGGACUGAGACACGGCCCAGACUCCUACGGGAGGCAGCAGUGGGGGAUUUUGGACAAUGGACGCAAGUCUGAUCCAGCCAUUCCGCGUGCAGGACGAAGGCCUUCGGGUUGUAAACUGCUUUUGUACAGAACGAAAAGGUUUCUAUUAAUACUAGGGGCUCAUGACGGUACUGUAAGAAUAAGCACCGGCUAACUACGUGCCAGCAGCCGCAGUAA
rnacentral:rRNA from 1 species